rfam:Arabidopsis thaliana chromosome 4, complete sequence.
GAAGAAGAUGGCGAUGAAUGUAACUAAACAUAUUAUCCAAAAAAAUUACGUACAUGUUGAGAAAAGUAGAAGACCGAUAAAUAUCAAAGCUGCUUU